CUAAACGCGUCAACCGCAGACGAUGAGGCAUUAGUUCACGCUACCGAAUAAACUACAAGUCGCCAGCUCAAACAACUGGGAAAACAUAAUAAAGGUUAAAGUGUCACUUCUAAAGGCAGAUGAGGAAGUCGUAUUCGUUGACUUUAACGGUGUUGACAGCAA